GUAGGUGGCAAGCGUUGUCCGGAAUUAUUGGGCGUAAAGCGCGCGCAGGCGGUCCUUUAAGUCUGAUGUGAAAGCCCACGGCUCAACCGUGGAGGGUCAUUGGAAGCUGGGGGACUUGAGUACAGAAGAGGAAAGCGGAAUUCCAAGUGUAGCGGUGAAAUGCGUAGAGAUUUGGAGGAACACCAGUGGCGAAGGCGGCUUUCUGGUCUGUAACUGACGCUGAGGCGCGAAAGCGUGGGGAGCAAACAGGGAUUAGAUACCCUGGUAGUCCACGCCGUAAACGAUGAGUGCUAAGUGUUAGGGGGUUUCCGCCCCCUUAGUGCUGCAGCUAACGCAUUAAGCACUCCGCCUGGGGAUACGGCCGCAAGGCUG
rnacentral:rRNA from 1 species